CAGCAGCCGCGGUAAUACGGAGGAUGCAAGCGUUAUCCGGAUUCAUUGGGUUUAAAGGGUGCGUAGGCGGCUUUUUAAGUCAGUGGUGAAAUCUUGCCGCUUAACGGUAAAAUUGCCAUUGAUACUGAUAAGCUUGAGUACAAUUGAGGUAAGCGGAAUGUGUAGUGUAGCGGUGAAAUGCUUAGAUAUGACAUAGAACACCUAUUGCGAAGGCAGCUUACUACGCAUAUAUUGACGCUGAGGCACGAAAGCGUGGGGAUCAAACAGGAUUAGAUACCCUGGUAGUCCACGCCCUAAACGAUGGAUACUCGACAUACGCGAUACACUGUGUGUGUCUGAGCGAAAGCAUUAAGUAUCCCACCUGGGAAGUACGACCCCAAGGUUGAAACUCAAAGGAAUUGACGG
rnacentral:rRNA from 1 species